rnacentral:rRNA from 1 species
CCUACGGGAGGCAGCAGUGGGGAAUAUUGGACAAUGGGCGAAAGCCUGAUCCAGCCAUGCCGCGUGUGUGAAGAAGGCCUUCGGGUUGUAAAGCACUUUCAGUGGGGAAGAAAGCCUUGGGGCUAAUACCCUCGAGGAAGGACAUCACCCACAGAAGAAGCACCGGCUAACUCCGUGCCAGCAGCCGCGGUAAUACGGAGGGUGCGAGCGUUAAUCGGAAUUACUGGGCGUAAAGCGCGCGUAGGCGGUCUGAUAAGCCGGUUGUGAAAGCCCCGGGCUCAACCUGGGAACGGCAUCCGGAACUGUCAGGAUAGAGUGCAGGAGAGGAAGGUAGAAUUCCCGGUGUAGCGGUGAAAUGCGUAGAGAUCGGGAGGAAUACCAGUGGCGAAGGCGGCCUUCUGGACUGACACUGACGCUGAGGUGCGAAAGCGUGGGUAGCAAACAGGAUUAGAUACCCUAGUAGUC